UUCCCAGGACUUCUGGGUUCCCUGGAGUAUCUCUGCAACAAAAUGCUGCUGUAGCAAUGGUCAGAAGAAACCCUUUAGCUCUUUCCUAUGUACCACAGGUGAGCAUGGUGGUACAAUCGGCCCCAGUUCUUCACUCCUUUCUCCACCCACUCCCUUACUAUAGCCUCAUCAUGAAUGGAGUGUCCUUUCGCGGGGACAUUGAGCUUGGCCAUGUGACUUUCUUUGGCCAAUGGCUGGUAGUAGACGUGACACAGCAGGGAUGGAAGUGUUUUGCACACUGGGACUUCUCUCUUCUGCUUCUGCUGGCACCAUCAGAAGAACAAGCUUUGGUUAGUCUGCUAAGGAGGACAGGAUGAGAGACAUGUAGAGCAAAGCCACCAACGUGGUCCAGAGACCUGAUGUGAGAGGCAGAGCCACUCAGCCAUUGCAGCCGGAGCAGAGUUGACCAGCUGAGCCCAAUUCAGAUCAGCCAAAUCCCAGACAACACACAGAGCUCUGAAGACAAAUGCUUAUUGUUGCAUUGAACUGAGGAGACUUUUGUGGUUUUUUUUUUUUUUUUUUUUUUUUUUUACCCCCUUGGCGCUAGCUGACUAACACAGGCACUGAACUGUUUUAUAUCAAGAUUUCACAAGCUUAUAAAAUAAUGCUCAGGGAUGGUAUUCCAAGUAUGAGUCAGGAAAACAGCUUAAAUCAUUUAUGAGCUAAGGAAAGGAGUUAUAGCUUCAGAAAGGUGUGGCAGAUGGCAAAGAUAUCCUACCUUACUUAAGCGUAUGCUUUACCCUUUAAACCCAAGACAGUCUAACAUAAAUGCAGUCAUGUCAAGGGAAUAUGCCCCCCUGGAUGUGGAGGGGGAGAGCACAGUGACAUUGGCUACUUCUCAGUUUUAAGUUGUGUGAAAUUGCACUUUAAAAUUCUGACAUUCCUUGGUCUUCCAAUUUCACAUGUUCUUGGGGUGUCCCUGGCCACAAAACUCUUUCCCAUCCUGGCGAUGUUUCAUUGAUCCAACGUGAACGCAAGGAUUAGAUGGUGUGCUGAGAGCAGGUUUUAGAAAGAGGCGAAGAGCAGGCAAUGGAAUUCAGAGGCCAGAGAUCCUGGGAUGGACUCAAAGCAGAGGCUCCAGUAUGAUGAUCACAAAGCAGAGAGGAAGAAACCAUCAUGAAGCAGAGGGGGAAAUGCACCUUGGUUGGACAGGACCCGCUGGGACCUAAUCACACCCAGGCCCAUAACAAGCAUCCCCAUCCAGGCAGCAGUGUUGGCUCUUCUUGGACCAGGGCUGACAGGUGGGAGAGACUGGGUGGUGAGAAUCCUGUGUGGGACUAUGGACAGGAGGAAAACCAGAGAGGAAGGACAGGUUCUUCCGUACGAGGAAGAUAGAUGAUAGUUGCUGACCACAGAGUUCACGGGAUCAUCGUGAGGAUCCAAUAACACAGUGCACGGAGAAGUGCUUUGAAAUGGAAUGAGUAUGCACUCAGGGCGUUAAUAAUAUCCAGUCACUUUCCUAGAUACCAAACAACCCGGGCAUCCCAAAGGUAUCGCGGUCUCCAGCUCGCGCUUCCUGACUGGCUAGGAAAAGGAAAAAGGCAAAGACAUGCAAGAAAACAUACGUGGUUUCUGAAGUGAAGACCCCUGUACCAGGAGCCUGAAAGCCCACAGGAAGUUAAGGAAGAGACCCCACAAGUGGGAGGCUUUGAACUUAAACCUUGGAAGAGCUGAAUCCCCGAGGCCUCACCUUUGCUUCCUACCCCCACCCAAACCUGCUAAAGGCCCCAGACACUAAAAAUACCCUGGCCACCUGCUGCCCAGGGAGGCAGUAAAUCACAGGUCCUCGAGCACCAGAAUCCAGGCCAGGCCCGGCCUAACACGACCAAUGGCAGCUGACAAGGCCCCACAGAUCACGGCCUCAACUGCUGUCCUAUUACUCUGGGGCCACCAGAUGUCACUGUUACAGGGAGCAUGAAUAUUUGUGGUCCGGUCCUGGGACAGGCACUGAAUUUACGAAGACAGUUUAAAUCGUGGGCGCUCAUGGGGACACCAGUGACACCCAUGUCUUACUUCCAGUUCUUAAGUUCUCACUAGUGAGAUCAUGUCCGCAGGUACCACUAUCAGUCCAAUCCCCAAAAUGUAAUAAAAAAAAUGCCAAAAAUU